rnacentral:rRNA from 1 species
AACGCGAAGAACCUUACCAGGUCUUGACAUUGAUGGACAGAACCAGAGAUGGUUCCUCUUCUUCGGAAGCCAGAAAACAGGUGGUGCACGGUUGUCGUCAGCUCGUGUCGUGAGAUGUUGGGUUAAGUCCCGCAACGAGCGCAACCCCUAUCUUAUGUUGCCAGCACUUCGGGUGGGAACUCAUGAGAGACUGCCGCAGACAAUGCGGAGGAAGGCGGGGAUGACGUCAAAUCAUCAUGCCCCUUAUGACCUGGGCUACACACGUACUACAAUGGGAGUUAAUAGACGGAAGCAAUACCGCGAGGUGGAGCAAACCCGAGAAACACUCUCUCAGUUCGGAUCGUAGGCUGCAACUUGCCUACGUGAAGUCGGAAUCGCUAGUAAUCGCAGGUCAGCAUACUGCGGUGAAUACGUUCCCGGGUCUUGUACACACC